rnacentral:lncRNA from 10 species
UGGCACACGUUUGUAGUCCCAGCUACUUGGGAAGCUCAGGCAGGAGAAACUUGAACCCAGGAGGUAGAGUUCGCAGUGAGUAGAGAUCACACUGCUGCACUCCAAAGUGAGACUCCAUCUCAAAAAAAAAAAAAAAAAAGUAGAACUUUACAAACACUACAGUGCAUUUUCUAGAAAAUUUUUUCUAGGCCGGGCGCGGUGGCUCACGCCUGACUCCGACUCAAAAAAAAAAAAAAAAGAAAAAGAAAAAUUUUUCUAAAUCUCCAUUGUUAAGAGAUCACUGUGAGGUAGGGUAGGGAGUGUGGGGAAAGAUUGGGGCCCCCAGGUUUGAAGAUCAGCUUGGUCUUGCCUGUGUGCAUGUAUCUGAUAAAAUGCAGGAAAAGUUUGUCUCUUCCCCACCCUCACUUCCACCCACUGUGAGGCUUGCUCAUGUCCAGAUUGGGCUCAGGAUGGCAGUUGUGGAUGCUCAGAGCACAAAAGGCUUCUUGUUUGCCCAAGGGCCUAUCAGUGUUUAAAUAGAACUGGCGGAAGCACAAGCACACCGUAUCAGCAGCUUAUCAGGGACCAUGGUUUUCCACGUACAUUUGCUAGGCACUUCAGUUUACCCAACUCCAUCAGCACUGAGUUAAAUUGCAAGGUUGGGCUGUACUACGCUGAGCCAGGGCAGGGAGAACAAGCCAGUUACUGGGGAUGAGGGUGUCGGGGGGGCCCUCAAGACCUUAUUUGCAUUCUGCCCACAUAGAGAAUAAAGCUGUGAUAGCCUGUGUACUAAGAGGCACCCAAAGAGAACCAGUCAGUCUUAGGAAUGCACCCGGAAGGUGGGAUGAGUCCAGGCCUCCCUAUGGUGGAAGUAGUUGGAGAUACCUCUUGUUACCCUGGUUUUCCAUCUUAGUUUACCAGGUGUAUAGUCAGUGCGGGUUAUGGUUAAAGGAGGUGUCAAUUGGGGGCCUGUUAAUGUCUUAAAAUUGUAUGCAAUUUUGGGGUUUGCAAAUGCGUCUGCGUGCAUAUUUCUCUGGCAGCUGACCUAUGAAUCAAAGGACUAAAUGUUCUUGUACUAUUCGGGCUGCAUCUUCUUUGAGGGUAAUCUUCAGGGCAGAUACAUGGGUAGCCUACUUUAGAAAUGAGGCCUUUGCAAUUAUAAUCACUCCUACUUUCUAAGCACUUGCUAUAUGCCAGGUGCUGUGCUAAAUGCUUUAUAAAUGUUAUCACAUUUAAUUCUCAGAAAAUCUUAUGAGAUAGGAAUUUUUAUUUCUAAAAGAGUUAUAAUUUGCCCAUGAUCACAGAGCUAAGUAAAUGAUAGAGCUAUGAUCGGAACUUCAACUUUCUGAUUCCAUGUCUGUUAGCACUGUGGAAGGCUGUCUUUGGCAUUUUAAUAUACUUAUCAAGUGUUUCAUAUACAUUGGUUAAUUUGUCCAACUGCCACAGAGUGGGAUGGGUGGCUCUUUUUCCUAAACUGUAGCCAUCUUUUCCCCAAAGUGUAGCCUUCAUGAAUUUUGCCCUAUUUAUAUAUCACCUAUGCUAUUAAGUUACCUACCAUUUAAAAUUUUUAAUUAAAUGUGUUAUUUCUUACCCUCAUUCCUAAAUAAUAGCCAUGGAAAAACCAUUGAUGUGCUAAUUUUUUUCUUGAAUCCACACUAAAAUAACUACAUAACCAUUAAAAUGAAAAAUGCAUUAGCC